rnacentral:rRNA from 1 species
UAGGGAAUCUUCGGCAAUGGACGGAAGUCUGACCGAGCAACGCCGCGUGAGUGAAGAAGGUUUUCGGAUCGUAAAGCUCUGUUGUAAGAGAAGAACGAGUGUGAGAGUGGAAAGUUCACACUGUGACGGUAUCUUACCAGAAAGGGACGGCUAACUACGUGCCAGCAGCCGCGGUAAUACGUAGGUCCCGAGCGUUGUCCGGAUUUAUUGGGCGUAAAGCGAGCGCAGGCGGUUAGAUAAGUCUGAAGUUAAAGGCUGUGGCUUAACCAUAGUACGCUUUGGAAACUGUUUAACUUGAGUGCAGAAGGGGAGAGUGGAAUUCCAUGUGUAGCGGUGAAAUGCGUAGAUAUAUGGAGGAACACCGGUGGCGAAAGCGGCUCUCUGGUCUGUAACUGACGCUGAGGCUCGAAAGCGUGGGGAGCAAACAGGAUUAGAUACCCUGGUAGUCCACGCCGUAAACGAUGAGUGCUAGGUGUUGGGUCCUUUCCGGGACUCAGUGCCGUAGCUAACGCAUUAAGCACUCCGCCUGGGGAGUACGACCGCAAGGUUG